rnacentral:rRNA from 1 species
UACGUAGGGUGCAAGCGUUAAUCGGAAUUACUGGGCGUAAAGCGUGCGCAGGCGGUGAUGUAAGACAGGUGUGAAAUCCCCGGGCUUAACCUGGGAACUGCAUUUGUGACUGCAUCGCUGGAGUGCGGCAGAGGGGGAUGGAAUUCCGCGUGUAGCAGUGAAAUGCGUAGAUAUGCGGAGGAACACCGAUGGCGAAGGCAAUCCCCUGGGCCUGCACUGACACUCAUGCACGAAAGCGUGGGGAGCAAACAGG